rnacentral:SRP_RNA from 1 species
UUUGGGCACAGUGGUCACUCCUAUAGUACCAGCUAUGUGGAAAGUUGAGGCAAGAGAAUCAUUUGAGCCCAGAAAAUGUAAGCUGUAGUGUGCUAUGCUGAUCUGGUGUCUACACUAAGUUUGGUGUCAAAAUGGUGACUUCCUAGGGGUGGGGGACCAUAAGAUUGCCUGAAACCGGCCCAGGAAGGAAAUGGAGUAGGUCAAAACUCCCUUGAUGGUCAGUAGUGGGAUUGUGCCUGUAAAUAGCCACUGCUAUUCACAUAGCAAUAACCUGUUUCA